CUAGCAGUCAACAGCUAUCUAUAAGUAAUUUGGAGUAGGUAUCUUUUAGACCAAAACCAGAAUUGUGAAGAAUUGUGAAGUAUCACUGUUGAAUAUAGUGGGAUUUAAAGUCUAAUUUAAAGUCUAAUCAAAACAUUUCCAUCAAGCAGCAAUCUAGUCAUAUGCACCAGAUAUAUGACAGAGGGAGUAACAGGGAAGCCAUGCUUCUUGUCCUGAGCUCAUGGUAGACAACCUUUCCAAGUUCUACUCAAUAUGCUAUGAUAUCUCACUGAUUCAAGUGUUGCCAAUAUUGCCUUUGUAACUGAACUGAGUAAUGCUUAAAAUCUGCAUCACUGACAUUGUACCCCUGCUAAGAUAAUGUUUAUUCAGUGAGGUCUUGGGAAUCAAUUAUAACACCCACUGAGGGUACAGUGUUUUUAGAUGGAAACUCCAGGAUGGAAGACACCAAUAUUUUUAAAAAUACAUUCUGGCCUAUGGCGAUUUAAGA